GGGUGCGGGUGACCGCCAGGAGUCCCCGGAGAGUCGUGCAGCGUGGGGAAGAGCGCAGGGCCACCGCCGCCGUCCGGGCCCGCACUGCUGCACCCAAACAAGUUCUUCGAAAGACCCCUGGGCCGCUCUGUGAGCGAAGAAGAUAGAUGAGCUUCGGUAUCAUCAUACCUGUGGUUGGUGACGCCCGAAACUUCUCCUGUGGACACCCAGUCUGCCCCAGCGUCCGCGUGGAGUGCAGACGGGAGCCGAAAUGAGGAAGGUUAUUAAAGUGCACUGGUUGCGAAACAACUUGAGUGAUUUGGUUCUCCAAACACCAGGUUAAGUCAAAAUAAAGCUUUCCCCCAAGGAA